UCUACAUGCAUGCAUAGCAAGCUUCACGCAACAACGAUCAUGAAAAAUCCACCAUCGACCCCAACCAAUCCACAGCGCCACUCGUGUAUGCAUGCACCAACAGCUGCUGCCACCCUAACAGCAACCAAACCGAGAACCCCCCAACUACGCCAGCUCUCUCUCUCCCCAUUGUCACCACCGUGCCCAGCCACACGAAAUUGCAGCAACACCUCACCCCAUGUUUUUGCUUCUUAGAAACAGAGGAAGUGUUUCCUCCCAAUGUGAGCCAUUAACCAUUGCACUGCCACCGCUUCAAACCACCACUGUACCCACCAACGGAAGCCACUCCUCACCAUUGCCACCCUGCGUCGUAGGCCCUUACUAUCCAAAGAGGCCCUAUUUUCCCUCACCAUAACAGAGUACCUCAUCCCCAUCCAGAGCACCCACUACCACCCUUACGCCACCCCGCAAAGCGCUAGCUCUUGACGAAAGCCACUGCAUGCAACCCCUGACCAGUCGCACGCCUCUGCGUUGUUCCCACGCCACUCAGCAUCAGCAUCCUAGUCACACCAUCCUCAACCAACUUCAACCGUGCCAGCACAGUUCUUCCAGGCCAACCCCAUCGCGCAUUGUGUAGUUACAUACCACGGCUUCACUAAGACUCUAUCGCUUGAGCCAUUGUUAUGAUUCUUUUUUUUGCUUUGGAAAGUCCUAUUGCCUCCACACAUAUCUGGAUUUUUACUUUGUUCUUUUUGUUUUCGUGUAGUUUACUUAAAAGGGAAAGAUUUUAUAUUUGCAUCUGUUAAUCGAAUAGAAUAGGUGUUAUUACCUUUAUGCCCUUUUAUUAUUAAAGCUAUAAUUGACUAUUGGUUUUGGAGGGGUUUCAUACAGGCUGCAGUUUUUGUUUAUUCUAACUUAGAUAGGUGCAUUCUUAUAUUGUUAAGUUGGUAUUUUUUUAAGAGACCAAUAUAUUUUAUUACAGAAUAUUUAUUAAGUAAAGACUGAUGGUAUUUUAGAAUUAAGAGAUAUUUUAUGGGUUGGGAGAAUUUUAAGUAUCGAAGAACUAAAAUAGGUUAUUUCUAAUAUUCUAGGCUUAAAUAUGUAAAUACGUGAUUGAUUGAAAAUUUAUGGGAAUUACCUGAAUAUUUUAUAGGUGACUAUUUAUAGUUGUUCAGCCUUAUUAGAGGAAAAUUUCUGAAAAGUUAAGAAGUGCAAGUAAGCAGAGCUCCUAUACUAGUAUUUGGAUAAUAAAAAAAUGAAACAAGGUUGAUUUGACAAUAUGCAUGUUUGUUUUGAAAAGAAAUCUAAACAACAACCUCAGUUAUGUGUUUCUCCAUAUGCAUGAAAGUUGUAUAAGAGAAAAUAUUUUCUGUCAUGACUGGUGUAUACAUGAGCUAAUUUUGUACAU